GCCAUACUCACAAAAAUAAGAUUUGUGUCCUUAAACAUUCUCCUCCAGGUUCCAACACCUCUAUUCUUCCGAAAAUUAGUAGGAGACAAUCGACCGGUCAUCCAUCAUCGGCCGCACCAGCAGUGGCGCGCUAAUCCUUUAGGGUUUCUCCAAAUCUAAAAAUCGAGAUAUAUCUUCGUCUAAUUACGAGUCACAUAACUCAGCUAUUUUUUCUGUUGCAAUCUUAACUUUUGUUAGUUUAACUGGAGCUUCAGUGUUCAAGUUUGAGCAGGUGGAGUAGAUCAAGAAAUGGAAGAUGAAGGCAGUGAAGAUCUAGACCUUACUUAAGAUUAAUUUUGAAUUGCUAUAGAUGAAUGUUCUAGGAAUCUUUUGUUAACAACAUUCUGAUACUUACUAUCUUGAAAUGUAUUAAACUUAUGCACUUGGUGUAGAAUAUUUGCUUUAUUGAUAUUAUUAGCUUGUUGGACAAUUUAUAUUAUUAAUAAUUUCAUUU